rnacentral:rRNA from 1 species
UACGUAGGGGGCAAGCGUUGUCCGGAUUUAUUGGGCGUAAAGAGCGUGUAGGCGGCCAAACAGGUCAGCUGUGAAAACUCGAGGCUCAACCUCGAGACGUCGGUUGAAACCGUUUGGCUAGAGUCCGGAAGAGGAGAGUGGAAUUCCCGGUGUAGCGGUGAAAUGCGCAGAUAUCGGGAAGAACACCCGUGGCGAAGGCGGCUCUCUGGGACGGUACUGACGCUGAGACGCGAAAAGCGUGGGGGAGCAAACAGG